rnacentral:rRNA from 1 species
GACGAACGCUGGCGGCGUGCUUAACACAUGCAAGUCGAACGAAGUGGCGAACGGGUGAGUAACGCGUAAUCAACCUGCCCUUCUGAGGGGGACAACAGUUGGAAACGACUGCUAAUAUCGCAUUUUGUAGGAGGGGCUUGCGUCGGUUUAGCUAGUUGGUGGGGUAACGGCCCACCAAGGCGAUGAUCAGUAGCCGGUCUGGGAGGAUGAACGGCCACAAUGGGACUGAGACACGGCCCAGACUCCUACGGGAGGCAGCAGUGGGGAAUCUUCCGCAAUGGACGAAAGUCUGACGGAGCAACGCCGCGUGAGUGAUGACGGCCUUCGGGUUGGAAAGCUCUGUUAAUCGGGACGCGGUACCGGAAUAGAAAGCCACGGCUAACUACGUGCCAGCAGCCGCGGUAAUUC